rnacentral:rRNA from 1 species
GCUCAAUCACAAACUUUGGAUUACCCGCCAGAGCACUACGAGCCUUAGCUUAAAACUCAAAGGACUUGGCGGUGCUUUACACCCCCCUAGAGGAGCCUGUUCUAUAAUCGAUAACCCCCGAUCAACCUCACCGUCACUUGCUAGUACAGCCUAUAUACCACCGUCCCCAGCUAACCCUUUAAAGGAACAACAGUCAGCAAAAUAACUUAAAAUUUAAAAAGUCAGGUCAAGGUGUAGCACAUGCAGCGGGAAGAAAUGGGCUACAUUUUUUUUAAAAAAUACGGAACAACCAAUGAAACUAAAUGCAAAGACGGAUUUAGUAGUAAAAAGAAAAAGAACAUUCUUUUUAAAUGGGCAAUAAAGCACGCACACACCGCCCGUCACCCUCAUCAAACUAAAAUCCAUUAAAUAAAUUAUUAAUAGUUUAAGAAGAGGAAAGU